UCAAUUCCUUAUACAUUUUGAAAAAUAGUAUUUUAUAGAUCAGAUUUUUCCAAAGCUUUAACUAUAUAUGCAUAUACUUUUCUGUCUUAAGAACUCCUUUUCUGAGGGCUGAAACUUUCCUAUUGAGUCCUCUUACUUUUCAUCUGUAAGUGGUGAAAAUCUGUUCUUUCUUAAACAGUAAUGAGGGGUAUUAUUCAUUUGAUUUAGAUACAAAUGCUGCAACAAAAACACAAGUAUGAAAUCACUACUACUAGAUUUAUGGCUCUAACGUACAGUUGGAUGGACAUAUUCCACACAUGGAAGUAGACCCAUUCCGAAAGAACCCCAAAUACAUGCAAGGAUUUUAAUCAAUUGUGCCUGAAUUUAGGCCUACAAGCACUUCAGCCUUUUAACGCCACUCAUGCUACGAAUGGACCAUAUAGAGGAUUUGUUUUUAUUUAUUUAUUCAAGACCAUUUUUAAUUUAUUGUAAUAAAUGUUAGAUUUUUUUAUUAUGAAGUAAUAUAAAUUUUAUUUAAUAUUCAA